UGUUCAUACCUAGUAGCAAUAUGAGAAAAGAAACUAGAUAUGUAUUAAUUCUAUAUGCAAAUAUAAAUAAAUAUACACAUAUAUAUGUGCACACACAUAUCUAUGCAAAAAUAAAAAGUAUUAAAAAUCUAGAGUGGUGAUAUCAUAUUAUAAGUGCUCAAGAACUGUUGGUGGAAUAAUGGUUACAAUCAUUUUGGAUGGAAGUUUUGAAAGUUUCUACCAAAAUACAAAUGUACAUAUUCUUUGAUUCACUAAAUCUACUUGUAUGAAUAUAUCUGGCUAAUGAUAACAAAUAUCUAGCACUAAUUGAGUGUUUAAUGUUGCCAAGCAUUGUCCAAAAUGCCUUAUAUAUCUAGUUGUCAUUUAAGUCUCAAAAAUCUUUAUGUGGAAGGCCCAAUUAUUAUAAGUCUCAUUUACAGUAAGGAAACUAAGUGCAGAUAAGUUAAGUAAAUACAGAGAGGGGUUAUGUGGAGCCAGGACCUGAAAUAAUCCAGGUAGUCUGCUACCAACUCUUUUUUAGGUUGCUAUGUUGUUUAAACAAAUCCUACCAGGUUCAAAAGAUACUGCUUCAAGAACGCUUCUGUAACUUAUAAUAACACACAACCACAAGCCGACAAAUGUUUGUCACUAUGGGUAUGAUUAAAUAAGUUUUGAUAUAUCCAUGCAGUACAGUAUUAUUUAGUUCCAAGGUAGAAUGAUAUAAUCUUAUGUGAAUUCUGUGUAAAACAUUAUAGGACAAACUAGUUAAAAGAAAGGAAAUUAAAACAGUAUCUAUUAUAUGAUCUUAUUUACUUAAUAUAUGUAUAUAUGUCUAUAUAUGUAUACAAAUGCAUGGGAAAAGGAUUUGAAGGAUAGGCAUCAAAUGCUUCACAGAGGGUUAUUUUGGAGUAGGGGGAAACAGCAGUGGUGACUGAAACAUAUAUUUUGCCUCUGACAAAUAUAAUAAGAAAAAAUUGAGUUCAAUGAACUCUAAAAACAAAACCAACCAACCAAUCAACUAACCAAACAACAAAUAUUGUCUCUUUAUUCACACAGUUUAGUGGAGGGAAGAAAUACUUUAAAAAUGCAUAAAUACUACAACAGGGGAGGCCAUUGGAGUUCCCGGAAAAACGCUAAUAAACAUUACACAUGAAUCAUGAAUGUCGGUGGAUGAUGAUGGCACUUUAUGCAGAGAUGAAGAAAGAUAUUAGAAUUGUUUACCUGGGGAUAUGAUAUAGAAGAAAUCUUUAAAUUCAUCCAUCCAAACUUC